rnacentral:rRNA from 1 species
GGAAGGUGCAAGCGUUAAUCGGAAUUACUGGGCGUAAAGCGCGCGUAGGCGGCUAGAUAAGUCGGGUGUGAAAGCCCUGGGCUCAACCUGGGAACGGCAUUCGAUACUGUCUGGCUAGAGUGUGAUAGAGGGAGGCGGAAUUCCACAUGUAGCGGUGAAAUGCGUAGAGAUGUGGAGGAACACCAAUGGCGAAGGCAGCCUCCUGGAUCAACACUGACGCUGAGGUGCGAAAGCGUGGGGGGAGCAAACAGGAUUAGAUACCCUGGUAGUCCACGCUGUAAACGAUGUCAACUAGCCGUUGGGAGCAUUUUGGCUCUUGGUGGCGUAGCUAACGCGAUAAGUUGACCGCCUGGGGAGUACGGUCGCAAGAUUA